rnacentral:rRNA from 1 species
UGGGAAUAUUGCACAAUGGGCGCAAGCCUGAUGCAGCCAUGCCGCGUGUAUGAAGAAGGCCUUCGGGUUGUAAAGCACUUUCAGCGGGGAGGAAGGCGUUAAGGUUAAUAACCUUGGCGAUUGACGUUACCCGCAGAAGAAGCACCGGCUAACUCCGUGCCAGCAGCCGCGGUAAUACGGAGGGUGCAAGCGUUAAUCGGAAUUACUGGGCGUAAAGCGCACGCAGGCGGUCUGUCAAGUCGGAUGUGAAAUCCCCGGGCUCAACCUGGGAACUGCAUUCGAAACUGGCAGGCUAGAGUCUUGUAGAGGGGGGUAGAAUUCCAGGUGUAGCGGUGAAAUGCGUAGAGAUCUGGAGGAAUACCGGUGGCGAAGGCGGCCCCCUGGACAAAGACUGACGCUCAGGUGCGAAAGCGUGGGGAGCAAACAGG